GCAGAUGGACAAGGGAAGAGAGAGAAUGGCCGCUGCCGCCGCCGCUGCUGCCGCCGCCGCCGCCGCCGCUCAGUGCCGGAGCCCUCGGUGCGCGGCGGAGAGGAGAGGAUUCCGGCGGGAACUCGACUCUUGGCGCCACCGCCUCAUGCACUGUGUAGGUUUUGAGAGUAUUUUAGAAGGGCUUUAUGGACCACGGCUACGAAGAGACCUCAGUUUAUUUGAAGACUGUGAACCAGAAGAGCUGACUGACUGGUCUAUGGAUGAAAAAUGUUCAUUUUGUAACCUACAGAGAGAAGCAGUCAGUGAUUGUAUACCAUCUCUUGAUUCUUCACAGUCAACACCAACAGAGGAGCUAUCAUCUCAGGGCCAGUCCAACACUGAUAAGAUUGAAUGCCAAGCAGAAAAUUACCUAAAUGCACUCUUUCGAAAGAAAGCUGAUUCAAGCAUCUGGGUCUCCAAGAGGUCUCCUACCAAUGGUUGGGUGAGUGUUCUUGGAUAUU
rnacentral:sRNA from 1 species